ACCAGAAUUUGACUUCUAGGAUACAGAAUUAUAAGAGGUAUUGUUUUUCGUUUUAAUUUUUUGCAAGCACAACUAUAGAUGGUAAUUUGACUCUCCGAAAACUGAAUUCCCACCAUGAAUAAUGAAUAGUGAAAAGUGCUAGUCUAGAAAAUAAUUUACAAACGAAUCUAUGAGCUUGAGAAAAUUAUUGAGGGAAAAUUUUUGGAAAAUAGGAGAGACAGAAAAGUUGUAUGGAAAUAAAAUGCAGUUCCUAUCAGGUGAUUAUAAAAGGAAUGAAGGUAGGAAUGCAGUCCCAUCUGAAGUCCUUGAUGGGACACAAAGUGAAACAUUAACUUUCAUCAAAUUAAAGAGAUUUUGAGAAUCCUUGUUCAGAGCAGUAGAUAUAUAUAGGACCACCAAGUGAGAAUGGUUGGAAAAGCAGAACCUCAUAGGAACUCAAUGCCCCUAAGUGGAAAAGGAAAAGGGAAAUGACACUAAUCAGUGCUGAGAUUUAUAUUCCUUUAUGAGAAUGUUGUUAAUUCUUGUUACACACUUAUAGGAUACUUCUUCACUGCACAUUAUUUACUACCUUCAUUGUACUCCAGAUAUGAUUCUUCUUAACUUAGAUGGAUAUUAUUAAACACUAGAACUUUUUCUCCAUAUCUUUGAAAUAAAAGUGCUGCAGAAAAGUGUUGCCAGCAAGCAUUUAUGUUGUUGCACUUUUGUAACUAGGGGAGGGUUACUUUGAACUGAGUCAUGUACCAUUUUCCAGCUAUGCCUAUGGUGGCUAGGUGCUACUUACACGGCUAAAAUCACUUCUUGAGGAACAAUGAAAGCAUUGAAUUGUCAAAAAGGAGGCACUUUGUUUUUAGUGGUUUGUAAGUUGUAACGGUAACUUCAGUUAUAAAUGUGUACACUUCUUCAUUUUCUUUUACAUAAGUUUUUAGGGUACAUGCUAGAAAUUGAAUUCAACUGAACAGAAUUUUUAGACCAUUACUAAUUGAAUCAUGGUGAGGAAGAGGAGUUUGUAUAAAUGAACUUGUUUACAUUCUCUUUUUCUUCACAUGUAUUGGUGGAGUUGUGAAAGCUGCAGAAAUGGGAGUUCUUUGCAGCCCAAAGCUUCCAAGCACAAGUUGCUUUGGUUUUGGACUGAAGGGAGCUCCUACUUCUUCACUUUCCCAUAUAUUUUUUUCUCUUUGCCUCUGUCAAAUCAAACUAUGAUGGAUUAAGAUGUUCACUUCAUGUUCUUGUACAUUAUGCAGGUGGUGUCAUGAUGCUAAGGUCACCUUUAGAAUUUUAUGCUGGUUUUGGUUUCAGUCUUCUUAAUUUUUCACUCCACUGAAUUUACAUAACCAAACUUAAGAUUGAUUAAAAAUGCUGUACUCGUGAUAAAAUUCAAAACAACCUCUUUCUUUGGAGUUUUGUUGUUUUAAUCACAACAGCCCUUGCUGUUCAUUUCAUUCCCUUGGUUUUCAAAUACGGAUUUAGCUAGUUCAUUCACUGCCUGAUUCUAUCUGCUUCACUCACUUUCUAACACAUAAGUGAAGCUCUCUCCAUUAGACAUUGAGAAUUUUCACAAACAUACAAGAUCUGAACCUUAGAAAACUACAUCAGGGACUCUUUUAAAAACUUGACCAAUCUCUUUUUCCACAUGUAAUUCAUCAAAUAUCUAGCCAUUUUCUGCCACAAUCAGUUCAGUGUCAAAUUUUCCAUUACAGAACACUAAGCAUUUCUUUCCACCUAAGAUUCUAAAGGAAAACAGAUCUCUUAUGCAGAAGAGCCAAGCCCGACCAAGAUUUUGGGACAAAACUCACUGUACUGUAGUAUAGACUAUGUAAAAGUUUUCAUUCAUAUGCAGUCCAGAACUCAUGGUAGGUAAAUCCUUUCAAGUUGGUUCCCUUAAUUUCUUUCUCCUCCAAGUACUAUAGUUACAUGGAUUGAGAGCUGAAAUAUUGCUCUCAUGAUAUUAUUGUGUUUUGGUUACUCUUUCUUUCUAAAACUAAACUUGGACAGCUUGUCUCAUCUGCUGUAUGAGACAGUACAGAAUGAAGACAUAAUAAUAGUACAUGGGUCUUUGCAUUAGGGCUCUUUUCUGUUUUUAAUUUUGUUUUUUAUCAUGUUUGACCGGUUAAUGGGAAUUAUAGCUAUGGAGGACCUCAAUUUCAAAGCUGAAUAAGAGGUUUCUAACACAGAAUAUAGUGUAUUCAUAAAUUCUUCAGAAUUGAGUUAUAUCUUGUGAUGAAGGUACUACAGGGAUGUGUCACAGUUGCAGAUUCCAUCAUUGCUCUACUCUUUCUGACGUACUCUUUCUUCAAUUGUCUCAAUCUGUGACAACUGUGAUCCUUUGAUUUUAAGGGAUAAUGUAUUUUAUAUUGACUUGAUUGAGAGUCAUAUGUGACAACUUAACAAGUACCUGAACAGUUAAAGUUAUAUAAGGAAAUGAUUUUUGGUAUUCAAAACAAAAGCAAGUUGAGCUUAAAGCAUAUUUUAGAAAUGAUAAAAGAGAUUUAUAUCAUGCAGCAUUGAAGUUGAAAGAACUUUGCCUCUUGACAAGCAACAACCAAAACAUCAAUUGACUUUUGCAUUGAUCUGCAUGCCAAAGAGAUGUGAUUCAAUGAUGGGUCUUCCUCUUCUGUUAAAGAAACACAACAAAGGAAAAACAGGUUGUGAUUGGUGUACCAAGUUUAAGUUUCAUCUAUGAUAUCUCUCAAGUACUAUGUGCUAUGAUAGAGUCUAUCAGAGAAAGAGAAUGUCUCAUGUACUAUGUGCUAUAGCAUACUGCUAUUUACAGAGAUGCAUAUGUGCUAUAUUCAAUUUUUAUAUUAAACUUAAGUCUUACAUAGUUAUAUCAAAUUUCACUAAAAUUGUCUUUUAAGUCGACUUAUCCAAUUUUAAAAUAAUUUUUUUUAAGAAGGGUAGGCAAUUCCUAACUAAGAUUUUUCACUUGGUUUUUCUUCCUUGUCUUUUUAUCUAUAUCAGUGUACUAUAUAUAGCAGACAAAGGAACAUUAUCAGUGUACUAUAUAUAGCAGACAAAGAAAAUGUUCCUGCAACAGCC
rnacentral:lncRNA from 1 species